GACGAACGCUGGCGGCGCGCUUAACACAUGCAAGUCGAGCGAGAACCCAGGCUUCGGCCUGGGGGAAAGCGGCGAACGGGUGAGUAUCACGUGGGUAAUCUGCCCUCGACGUCGGGAUAGCCCGGGGAAACCCGGAUUAAUACCGAAUGGCCCAUCCGCUCUUCGGAGCGGCUGGGAAAGGUAGCUUCGGCCUCCAGUCGAGGAGGAGCCCGCGGCGGAUUAGCUUGUUGGUGAGGUAAUGGCUCACCAAGGCGACGAUCCGUAGCUGGUCUGAGAGGACGGUCAGCCACACUGGGACUGAGACACGGCCCAGACUCCUACGGGAGGCAGCAGUGGGGAAUUGUUCGCAAUGGGCGCAAGCCUGACGACGCAACGCCGCGUGGAGGAUGAAGAUCUUCGGGUCGUAAACUCCUUUCGAUCGAGACGAAUGGCCUCUGGGCUAAUCACCAGGGGAAUGACGGUACCGAGAGAAGAAGCCCCGGCUAACUCCGUGCCAGCAGCCGCGGUAACAC
rnacentral:rRNA from 1 species